rnacentral:rRNA from 1 species
AUCGAACGCUGGCGGCAGGCCUAACGCAUGCAAGUCGAGCGGUAGCACAGAGAGCUUGCUCUCGGGUGACGAGCGGCGGACGGGUGAGCAAUGUCUGGGAAACUGCCUGAUGGAGGGGGAUAACUACUGGAAACGGUAGCUAAUACCGCAUAACGUCGCAAGACCAAAGAGGGGGACCUUCGGGCCUCUUGCCAUCAGAUGUGCCCAGAUGGGAUUAGCUAGUAGGUGGGGUAACGGCUCACCUAGGCGACGAUCCCUAGCUGGUCUGAGAGGAUGACCAGCCACACUGGAACUGAGACACGGUCCAGACUCCUACGGGAGGCAGCAGUGGGGAAUAUUGCACAAUGGGCGCAAGCCUGAUGCAGCCAUGCCGCGUGUAUGAAGAAGGCCUUCGGGUUGUAAAGUACUUUCAGCGGGGAGGAAGGCGAUAAGGUUAAUAACCUUGUCGAUUGACGUUACCCGCAGAAGAAGCACCGGCUAACUCCGUGCCAGCCGCCGCCGUAA